AUCAACUUUCGAUGGUAGGAUAGAGGCCUACCACGGUGGUAACGGGUAACGGGGUGUUAGGGCACGACACCGGAGAGGGAGCCUGAGAAACGGCUACCACAUCCAAGGAAGGCAGCAGGCGCGCAAAUUACCCAAUCCCGACACGGGGAGGUAGUGACAAUAAAUAACAAUACAGGGUUCUUUUGGAUCUUGUAAUUGGAAUGAGUACAAUUUAAAUCUCUUAACGAGGAACAAUUGGAGGGCAAGUCUGGUGCCAGCAGCCGCGGUAAUUCCAGCUCCAAUAGCGUAUAUUAAAGUUGUUGCAGUUAAAAAGCUCGUAGUUGAAUUUCGGGAUCAAUGUUUCGGUCAUGCCGUUGGUAUGUACUGAUAUUAUUGGUUUCUCACCUUCUAAAGAACCGUAAUGCCAUUAAUUUGGUGUCACGGGGAAUUAGGACUGUUACCUUGAAAAAAUUAGAGUGUUUAAAGCAGGCUCACGCUUGAAUACAUUAGCAUGGAAUAAUGAAACAGGACAUCCGAUUCUAUUUUGUUGGUUUCUAGGAUCGAUGUAAUGAUUAAUAGGGAUAGUUGGGGGCAUUAGUAUUCAAUUGUCAGAGGUGAAAUUCUUGGAUUUAUUGAAGACUAACUACUGCGAAAGCAUUUGCCAAGGAUGUUUUCAUUAAUCAAGAACGAAAGUUAGGGGAUCGAAGACGAUCAGAUACCGUCGUAGUCUUAACCAUAAACUAUGCCGACUAGGGAUCGGAUGAUGUUAAUUUUUUAAUGACUCAUUCGGCGCCUUACGGGAAACCAAAGUGUUUGGGUUC
rnacentral:rRNA from 1 species